rnacentral:rRNA from 1 species
AACGGCUACCACAUCUAAGGAAGGCAGCAGGCGCGCAAAUUACCCAAUCCAGACUUUGGGAGGUAGUGACGAGAAAUACCGGAGUGGACCGUAAAAUGGUUCACUAUCGGAAUGAACGUAAUUUAAUACCUUCGAUGAGUAGCUACUGGAGGGCAAGUCUGGUGCCAGCAGCCGCGGUAAUUCCAGCUCCAGUAGUGUAUAUCAAAAUUGUUGCGGUUAAAACGCUCGUAGUUGAAUUACAAAAGCUCUUUGGCGGCCAAAUCUAGGUUUGGUCGUUGUGGGGUUUUUUUAUCGCGAGAGCCAUACGUGGGAUUAAAUUCUUGUGUGUGGUCACUUGCGAGGUGUGCCUUGAAUAAAGCACAGUGCUCAAAGCAGGCGAACGCUUGAAUGUUAUAGCAUGGAACGAUUAUGUUGAUCUUGUCGACUGUUGGUUGUUGACAGUGGUCUCGAUUAAAAGGGACAUUUGAGGGCGUUAGUACUUGGUGGCGAGGGGUGAAAUCCUUUGACCCAUCAAAGACUAACUAAUGCGAAAGCAUUCGCCAAGAGUGUUUUCAUUAAUCAAGAACGAAAGUUGGAGGUUCGAAGACGAUCAGAUACCGUCCUAGUUCCAUACAGUAAACUAUGCCAACAUGGGAUUAGCCCGGUUUAAUCCAGGUUGGGCCCUCAGUGAAAACGUAGUGUUUCGGCUUUGGGGAGAGUGCUCACGCAAGUGACAAAUUUAAAGAAAUUGACGGAAUGGCACCACCAGGAGUGGAGCCUGCGGCUUAAUUUGAUUCAACACGGGGAAACUCACCAGGUCCAGACAUUGGUAGGAUUGACAGACUGAGAGAUCUUUCAUGAUUUGAUGAUUGGUGGUGCAUGGCCGUUCUUAGUUGGUGGAGUGAUCUGUCAGGUUUAUUCCGGUAACGAGCGAGACCACGAUCUUUAAUUGAUUACGGUUAAAAUGUCUUGACCGAUCUUAAAGAGACCACCGGAUUGAAGCCGGGGGAAGCGUGGCAAUAACAGGUCUGUGAUGCCCUUCGAUGUUCUGGGCUGCACGUGUGCUACAAUGAUAGUGACAACGAGUACCUG